rnacentral:rRNA from 1 species
GACGAACGCUGGCGGCGUGCUUAACACAUGCAAGUCGAACGGAAAGGCCCUGCCUGCAGGGUACUCGAGUGGCGAACGGGUGAGUAACACGUGGGUGAUCUGCCCUGCACUUCGGGAUAAGCCUGGGAAACUGGGUCUAAUACCGGAUAGGAGCCAUUUUUAGUGUGAUGGUUGGAAAGUUUUUUCGGUGUAGGAUGGGCUCGCGGCCUAUCAGCUUGUUGGUGGGGUAAUGGCCUACCAAGGCGGCGACGGGUAGCCGGCCUGAGAGGGUGGACGGCCACAUUGGGACUGAGAUACGGCCCAGACUCCUACGGGAGGCAGCAGUGGGGAAUAUUGCACAAUGGGCGCAAGCCUGAUGCAGCGACGCCGCGUGGGGGAUGACGGCCUUCGGGUUGUAAACUCCUUUCGCUAGGGACGAAGCUUUUUGUGACGGUACCUAGAGAAGAAGCACCGGCUAACUACGUG